UACGUAGGCAGCGAGCGUUGUUCGGAGUUACUGGGCGUAAAGAGUGCGUAGGCGGUUUUCUAAGUUUGGUGUGAAAUCUCCCGGCUUAACUGGGAGGGUGCGCCGAAGACUGGAAGGCUUGAGUAUGGGAGAGGUAAGCGGAAUUCCUGGUGUAGCGGUGAAAUGCGUAGAUAUCAGGAGGAACACCUGCGGUGUAGACGGCUUACUGGACCAUAACUGACGCUGAGGCGCGAAAGCGUGGGGAGCAAACAGG
rnacentral:rRNA from 1 species